AAUUUUUGAGCACUUAAAAAUCGAUAUGAUAAGCCGUCCGCAGUAUAGUCCUGACUUGGCACCGAAUGACUUCUUUUUAUUCCCUAUGCAUGUUUUGGAGAUACCUCAAUCAGAGUGGCAAAAGUGCUUCGACAAUUGGUUCAAACGCGCGCAAAAGUGUAUUUUAUUAUUCUCACCCUCUUUGGUGAAGAUGCUAGCUUUGCUCACCCUCAUUGCUGAGGAGUCAUUUACAGUCGGUUUGUGUUGAUUGCAAAGAAUACAACGUGGUGUUGUGCAUAAGAAGAUAUAUUUAUUAUUGAUGAUGCAAAAGCUGCAUUUAAUUUCCUGACAGUUGUUUGGAUACAGAAUAGCUACUCCACAUUGCAGACAGCGUUUUUUACAGCGGUGUCCUUUUUUGCCUCACCGAUGAAUAAACUGCAUCCGACUUUACCCUUCUAAAUAAAAACACUAUAAAUUUGCUUUAAUA